GAUGAACGCUGGCGGUAUGCUUAACACAUGCAAGUCGAACGGACUCUUCGGAGUUAGUGGCGGACGGGUGAGUAACGCGUGAGAAUCUGGCUUUGGGUUCGGGACAACCACUGGAAACGGUGGCUAAUACCGGAUGUGCCAAGAGAUAAAAGAGAAAUUGCCUGAAGAUGAGCUCGCGUCUGAUUAGCUAGUUGGUGAGGUAAAGGCUCACCAAGGCAGCGAUCAGUAGCUGGUCUGAGAGGAUGACCAGCCACACUGGGACUGAGACACGGCCCAGACUCCUACGGGAGGCAGCAGUGGGGAAUUUUCCGCAAUGGGCGAAAGCCUGACGGAGCAAUACCGCGUGAGGGAAGAAGGCUCUUGGGUUGUAAACCUCUUUUCUUAGGGAAGAACAAAAUGACGGUACCUAAGGAAUCAGCAUCGGCUAACUCCGUG
rnacentral:rRNA from 1 species